ensembl:lncRNA
GGGGCUGAGGAGGUACUGGAAGAGAAAGAGGAGCAGGAGCUGGAGGAAGACGUGGAAGAGGAGCUGGAGGAGGAGGAAGAGGAGGAGUGGGGACGCCCACAACCGUGGGACAGGGUCUCGUUCUGUCGCCCAAGCUGGAGUGCAGUGGUGCAAUCACAGCUCACUGCAGUCUUAACCUCCUCAGCUCAAGUGAGCCUCAGCCUCCCAAAGUGCUUGGGUAACAGGUGUGCACCCCUGCGUCUGGCCCUUUCGUGAGUCCUUUCUAAGAAGUAGUAUGUGGCAACAGCAGCACCGUCUGGUUUCUGUGGCUGGGUGGUGGCCUCCAUCCAGCUGUCUUGGCCUCGGGACGCUUGCAGGGGCUUCUCCUGGACUGGCUUGUGUUCCCUGUUGCUCUCCAGACUCCAUGGCUCCUGCCCAUUUCCAAGCCUGGGCUUGUGAGCUUCCUAGAGAUACCAUGAGCUACUGAUAUUCUUUCCUCAUCUGUUCGUAGGGGGUUGGAUCCUUUGACUCGCAGGAGGACACGCCUGUCUUGGUGCAUGUGCCUGUCGCCGUGGGACGGCCCCAUGUCCAGGUGGCAGUGGCGAGGGUGUGAGCAGAGGUCUCAGAGUGGCCACCUCCAAGCUCACGUCUGAGGCAGCCGGGCCUGGGAGGAGCCAGGCCAGCUGGGCCGCACUCUGGGCCAAAGGUUCCUGGCGACAGACACAGAGGGAAACUGUCCAGGCUGCAGAUGACAUGCAGGGGCUGAACAUCCACCUCCCCAUUGCCCGCCCUCUUCGUGGCAGGGGCGCUGAGACCCUGGGCGGCCCCACCGGUGUUUGAGAGAAGUGGGUCCACCCUCUGCCGAGUAAGCCCGUGGGAGCUUGGACCAUUCAGGGAAAUGGAGAUGGCUAUGGGAGGGACUUCCUAGCGUCAUGGCAGGCGAGCAUGGAGCUCCGAACUAGGACCCUGGAGGCGACUGUAUGGGCCCUGAGCCGGGAUUGGGUCAGCUGUCCUCAGCGCUGGGCAUGCAGCCAUCUCAGGGCCCUGGGUACCUGCUGUGCCCAUUUCACCCAGAGGCCAGAGGUUUGACUGGCCUGCCCAGGACCUCAGAGUGACUGGGUGGAGCCCCCACUUGGGGAAGCCCCCAGCUCUCCUACAGUCAGCCCCUAGCAUGUGUGAGAGGCUGGGGAGGCCAGACCUUGGGGUUCUUCUCAAGGGGUUUCCAGUCUCAGGAGGCAAUUCCUACCGGCCCCUCCCAUCCUGGAUGUGCCACAGCCACCACUGGGGUCUGAGAUCAACAUCUCCAGGCUGAGCCCACCCCGGGCCUCACAGAAGCUGCAAUUGGACCUUCAAAUUCUUCCACAGGAUGCAGCCAAGAAAUUCACCUUGGCCCCAGCAGCAAAACUCACUCCUUUGGAGCCAGGCUAAGCCUGGGGACCCUGGGAGGACACUUGCCUUGGGGACCUCUGCCAGGUUCAGCACAAUUGCCACACACCAUCAGCAUGAAGCUCGGGGUGUGCAGUGGGAUAGGAGGGGGCUCAGGGCAUCUGCAGGUGUCUAACUCUGCUCAGAAACAACACAGCACCCUCUAGGACCCCUGGGACCUCCCUAGCAGACAAGAGGCCAGGGCGGCAGCCUCUGUUUCUCAGACACAUCUGACACCUCCCUCCUGACACUGUGACAAUCCUAGACUGACUCUGCAUCUCCCCAGGCCUUGCACAGGGUGGAUGGAUGGAUAAAUGUACAGAUGGAUGGAUGGAUGGAUGGAUGGAUGGAUGGAUGGAUGUACAGAUGGAUGGUGGAUGGAUGGAUGGGUAGAUGGAUAGACACAUGGGUGGAUGGGUAGAUGGGUGGAUAAAUGGGUGGAUGAAUGGAUGGAUGAUGGAUGGAUGAGUGGAUGGGUAGGGGGUGGAUGGAUAGAUGGAGGGCUGGGUGGAUGGAUGGGUGGGAGGAUGGAAUGAUAGAUGGGUAGAGGGAUGGAUGGAUGGGUGGAUGGAUGGGUGGAUGGGUAGAUGGAUGGGUAGGUGGAUGGAUGGAUGGAUGGGAGAAUGAACUCAUUCUGGUUGAACUCCCACCAGUUGUGCUCAGAAACAACACAGCGCCCUCCGGGACCUCUGAGACCUCCCCAGGAGGCAAGAGGCCACGGUGGCAGCCUCUGUGGCCCAGAGACAUGCUAGACCCUGUUCUGGGUGCUGGGAAGACACAAAGGAGGUAAACCCACAGGCCAAGCCCACAGGAGACCACCCCACACCCAGGUAGACAUUGCAGGACCUCUAAGCAAGGUACAGAGAGCACUGGGGAGGCCAGGAGAUGGUCCCUGAGGGAAAAGAUGGCUGAGCUGUGUUUUAGGAGACACAUACAUUUCCUGGGGGACCAGCCUCCCAUGGGCCCACUGCUGGGCAAAGCCAGACACAGCUGGGUGUGAAGAGAAUUUCAAGAGCAAGAGAAGUGUAGGAUUUGGGGUGGGUCUAGAGAGUGGCAUAAAUUAGAGAGGGCUGUGAGGGGUGCAGAGGGCCUGGAGAAUCAUGACCAGGAGGCUGGAUGUGCUCAGGGGGCAGGGGGACCCAAGAUUGUUGUUUUGUUUUGAAAUAUAGCAAGCAGCUUUAUUGAAAUAUAAUUCGCAUACUGUACAAUCCACCUAUACAAUUCAGUGUACAAUUCAGCGGUUCUUAGUAUAUUCACAGAGUUGUGCAGCCAUCGCCACCAUCAAUUUUAUAACAUUUUCAUCACUCCCCAACCCUUGUACCCAUGAGCAGUUACUCCCCAUCUCCACCUCCUGGCAGCCCCUCCCACCCCCUAGCCCCUCACAAUCUACUUUCUGUCUCUCUGGAUUUGCCUGUUCUGGACAUUUCAUAGAAAUGGAAUCAUA